rnacentral:rRNA from 11 species
AUAGCGUAUAUUAAAGUUGUUGCGGUUAAAAAGCUCGUAGUUGAAUCUGUGUCCCACGCUGCCGGUUCGCCGCUCGCGGUGUUUAACUGGCAUGAUUGUGGGACGUCCUACCGGUGGGCUUAGCCUCUCGGGGCGGCCCAACUAAUAUCCCAUCGCGGUGCUCUUCACUGAGUGUCGAGGUGGGCCGGUACGUUUACUUUGAACAAAUUAGAGUGCUUAAAGCAGGCUAUUUUCGCCUGAAUACUGUGUGCAUGGAAUAAUGGAAUAGGACCUCGGUUCUAUUUUGUUGGUUUUCGGAACCCCGAGGUAAUGAUUAAUAGGGACAGAUGGGGGCAUUCGUAUUGCGACGUUAGAGGUGAAAUUCUUGGAUCGUCGCAAGACGGACAGAAGCGAAAGCAUUUGCCAAAAAUGUUUUCUUUAAUCAAGAACGAAAGUUAGAGGUUCGAAGGCGAUCAGAUACCGCCCUAGUUCUAACCAUAAACGAUGCCAGCUAGCGAUCCGCCGAAGUUCCUCCGAUGACUCGGCGGGCAGCUUCCGGGAAACCAAAGCUUUUGGGUUCCGGGGGAAGUAUGGUUGCAAAGCUGAAACUUAAAGGAAUUGACGGAAGGGCACCACCAGGAGUGGAGCCUGCGGCUUAAUUUGACUCAACACGGGAAACCUCACCAGGCCCGGACACCGGAAGGAUUGACAGAUUGAGAGCUCUUUCUUGAUUCGGUGGGUGGUGGUGCAUGGCCGUUCUUAGUUGGUGGAGCGAUUUGUCUGGUUAAU